CUAUCUAAAUUAUCUUUCAAUAAAUCACUCUACUAAAUAAUUGUUUCGUUUUUUAAAACACUCAUGUUUAAU
rnacentral:tRNA from 1 species